rnacentral:rRNA from 1 species
AUUGAACGCUGGCGGCAUGCCUUACACAUGCAAGUCGAACGGUAACAGGUCUUCGGAUGCUGACGAGUGGCGAACGGGUGAGUAAUACAUCGGAACGUGCCUAGUAGUGGGGGAUAACUACCCGAAAGAGUGGCUAAUACCGCAUGAGAUCUACGGAUGAAAGCAGGGGAUCGCAAGACCUUGUGCUACUAGAGCGGCCGAUGGCAGAUUAGGUAGUUGGUGGGAUAAAAGCUUACCAAGCCGACGAUCUGUAGCUGGUCUGAGAGGACGAUCAGCCACACUGGGACUGAGACACGGCCCAGACUCCUACGGGAGGCAGCAGUGGGGAAUUUUGGACAAUGGGCGAAAGCCUGAUCCAGCAAUGCCGCGUGCAGGAUGAAGGCCUUCGGGUUGUAAACUGCUUUUGUACGGAACGCAAAGCCCUGGGUUAAUACCCUGGGGUCAUGACGGUACCGUAAGAAUAAGCACCGGCUAACUACGUGCCAGCCGCCGCAGUAA